GACAAUUAAAUGGUCAUGGUGCAGUGGUUGAAAGCUCGGUCUCCCAAUGACGAUGACCUAAGCUUGACCCAUGCGCGCCCCUUUUCUACGUUUUCUCAUGUUUUUUUGUUCUUUUUUAAAUUUUUACAAGGCAUUGAAUAUUAUAUAUUUAUGAAGGUGAUUAUUUAUUUGCAAUAGGACCAUAGGGGAAUGGCUGAAGCAUCAUGUUUCCCGCCCCAUGUCUUUGCUGCCUAUUUUCUCCACUUUUUUA
rnacentral:lncRNA from 1 species